rnacentral:rRNA from 1 species
UACGUAGGGUGCAAGCGUUAAUCGGAAUUACUGGGCGUAAAGCGUGCGCAGGCGGCUUUGCAAGACAGAUGUGAAAUCCCCGGGCUUAACCUGGGAAUGGCAUUUGGGACUGCAAGGCUCGAGUGCGGCAGAGGAGACUGGAAUUCCUGGUGUAGCAGUGAAAUGCGUAGAUAUCAGGAGGAACACCGAUGGCGAAGGCAGGUCUGCUGGCG